ACAAUGGAGAGUUUGAUCCUGGCUCAGGAUUAACGCUAGCGGCAGGCCUAAUACAUGCAAGUCGAACGGGAUUUCGGGUAGCAAUAUCUGGAUGAGAGUG
rnacentral:rRNA from 1 species